rnacentral:siRNA from 1 species
UCUGAUUGAUGUUAUCUUUCAAG